rnacentral:rRNA from 1 species
AGUGAACGCUGGCGGUAGGCCUAACACAUGCAAGUCGAACGGCAGCACCGUAAGAGCUUGCUCUUACGGGUGGCGAGUGGCGGACGGGUGCGGAAUACAUCGGAAUAUUCUUUUUCGUGGGGGAUAACGUAGGGAAACUUACGCUAAUACCGCAUACGACCUACGGGUGAAAGCAGGCGAUCUUCGGACCUUGUGCGAUUGAAUGAGCCGAUGUUGGCUUAGCUAGUUGGCUGGGUAAAGGCCCACCAAGGCGACGCUCCGUAGCUCGUCUGACGGGAGCGUUCGCUACAUUGUAACUGAGACACGGUCCAGACUCCGACGGUGAGCAGCAGUGGGGAAUAUUAGAGGAUGGGGGCAAGCCUGAUCCAGGCAUACCGCGUGGGUGAAGAAGGCCUUCUGGUUGUAAAGCGCUGUUGUUGGGAAAGAAAAGCAGCAGGUUAAUACCCCGCUGUUCUGACGGUACCCAAAGAAUAAGCACCGGCUAACUUCGUG